GAAGUGCGAUAAGCAAUGCGAAUUGCAGAAUUCCGCGAGUCAUCAGAUCUUUGAACGCAAAUGGCGCCGGAGGGAUAUCCUUCUGGCAUGUCUGUUUCAGUGUCUGAGAGGUUUCACCAACAUCUUAAUGUGAUUGACAGCAGCAGCAGCAGCAAGCAAUUGUUGUGGUUGGUGUUGUCUCUCAUGAAAGAUGCGCGAGUGGAUCUUUCGGUCCAAUGAAGUGGUCACAUCACUCGUAUGUGAUUUCAUUGGGAGCACCGAAUUAUCCGCCAUGCUCGCGGUGUCAUCAUAUAAUAUAUGACGAAAGCAAGAAAGAAAGAAAGAGCUUCUUUCUUCUUCUUCUUCUUUGGUUGUAUUUUUUUUUCUCUCUCUACACCCUGCAUCUGAGAUAGGCAAGAUCACCCGCUGAACUUAAGC
rnacentral:misc_RNA from 1 species